CUACUCGACUCCUACGGGAGCGCAGUGGGGAAUAUUGCACAAUGGGCGGAAGCCUGAUGCAGCAACGCCGCGUGCGGGAUGACGGCCUUCGGGUUGUAAACCGCUUUCGCCUGUGACGAAGCGUGAGUGACGGUAAUGGGUAAAGAAGCACCGGCUAACUACGUGCCAGCAGCCGCGGUGAUACGUAGGGUGCGAGCGUUGUCCGGAUUUAUUGGGCGUAAAGGGGCUCGUAGGUGGUUGAUCGCGUCGGAAGUGUAAUCUUGGGGCUUAACCCUGAGCGUGCUUUCGAUACGGGUUGACUUGAGGAAGGUAGGGGAGAAUGGAAUUCCUGGUGGAGCGGUGGAAUGCGCAGAUAUCAGGAGGAACACCAGUGGCGAAGGCGGUUCUCUGGGCCUUUCCUGACGCUCAGAUGCGAAAGCGUGGGGAACAAACAGGAUUAGAUACCCUGGUAG
rnacentral:rRNA from 1 species